UGAAUACGAGACGCUAAGGCGUCGAAGUAGUGUAUGUCAUACUUCCAAGAAAAGCUUGCACUGUCAUAAGUAAAAAAUGCCUGUACCAUAACCGACACAGGUGGGUAGGUAGAGUAUACUAAGGGGCGCGAGAUAACUCUCUCUAAGGAACUCGGCAAAAUAACUUCGUAACUUCGGGAGAAGGAGUACCUUAUUCUAUAAGGUUGCAAUAACAAGAUCCAAGCAACUGUUUAUCAAAAACACAGGUCUCCGCCAAGUCGUAAGACGAUGUAUGGGGGCUGACGCCUGCCCAGUGCCAGAAGGUUAAAGAAGUCGGUUAGCAUUAGCGAAGCUGGUAACUGAAGCCCUGGUGAACGGCGGCCGUAACUAUAACGGUCCUAAGGUAGCGAAAUUCCUUGUCGGGUAAGUUCCGACCCGCACGAAAGGCGUUAUGAUUUGGAUACUGUCUCGGAGACGGGCUCGGUGAAAUAGACUUGUCUGUGAAGAUGCGGACUACCUGCACCAGGACAGAAAGACCCUAUGAAGCUUUACUGUAACUUGAAAUUGAAAUUGGACUUUAUUCGCGCAGUAUAGGUGGGAGGUGUUGAUUAUAAUCUUGCGGGAUUAUUGGAGCCAUCAGUGAGAUACCGCUCUUGUAAUGUUAGAUUUCUAACUUUGAAUCAUUAUCUGGUCAAAGGACAGUUUCAGGCGGGCAGUUUGACUGGGGCGGUCGCCUCCCAAACGGUAACGGAGGCGUACAAAGGUUUCCUCUGAACGGGUAGAAAUCGUAUCUAGAGUGUAAAGGCAUAAGGAAGCUUGACUGUGAGACCUACAAGUCGAACAGGGACGAAAGUCGGUCUUAGUGAUCUGACGGUACUGAGUGGAAAGGCCGUCACUCAACGGAUAAAAGUUACUCUAGGAUAACAGGCUGAUCUCCCCCAAGAGUUCACAUCGACGGGGAGGUUUGGCACCUCGAUGUCGGCUCAUCGCAUCCUGGGGCGGUAGUACGUCCCAAGGGUUGGGCUGUUCGCCCAUGAAAGCGGUACGCGAGCUGGGCUCAGAACGUCGUGAGACAGUUCGGUCCAUAUCCGGUGUAGGCGUUAGAAUAUUGAGAGGAGCCUUCUUUAGUACGAGAGGACCGAGAAGGACAUACCUCUGGUGUACCAGUUAUCGUGCCAACGGUAAACGCUGGGUAGCUAUGUAUGGAGUGGAUAACCGCUGAAAGCAUCUAAGUGGGAAGCCCACCUCAAGAUAGGUAUUCUC
rnacentral:rRNA from 1 species